rnacentral:misc_RNA from 1 species
GCCUUGAUUCCAAAUUAGUUGGGGUUGGCAACAUGGUUCCUUUUUCACCAAGCUAAAAUGAAAACAAUUAAAUUGUCUAUCACCUGUCUUUGUGUCAAUGUUUUACAUCUUAAAAUUACCACUGAAAGUAAAACGGACUAAACCAUGCCCCUGCAUCAUAACCCAAAGAGCAAUAGUGCAAUACUAAAUGAUUACAUGAGAAUUUUGAUAUCAAUUUGUCACUUUUCUUCCUUCUAUUUGGAUUACCUCCUCUGCAUUUUUACAGAACUUGCUGAUAAUACCUCAAAUUGAGACCUCAGCAAUGUGGGAGUAGCACUUCAAACGUUCCAGAAAAACCUCAAAUAUCUGAUGAUCCAUAAUAGUAUUUACCUCUUCACCGGAGGAUCGGCAACUCUAUAAGAAUCAGCUGUAGUUCCCACCAACCACAACCCAGGAAAAACAUUAUCAAGCAAUUUCUGCACGUUCUUGGGUCGUUUCCUGGGCCUCCUGGCAGGUCUCGACCCAGUCAAAGCGAAAAUAUCCUC